GGUUCCAGCAGCAAGGCUACACAGAGCGGCCUGUGCCCACACACAAGGAGAUCCAACAGGCUUUGGUGGAUGUCGGAGACAAACAGGCGUCCUUUGUCGGAUCACGGCAGUGGAUCGGAUCCAUCGAGGUUCAGGCUGUUCUGAACCAGCUGCUUGAGGUACUUCCAAGAUCAUGUUGGUGAGUCAAGGUUCUG